rnacentral:rRNA from 1 species
CUCGGGCUAAUACCGAAUGUGCCCUUCGGCCACAAGUGCCGUCGGGGAAAGGAAGCUUCGGCCUCCGCAUCGGGAUGGGCCCGCGGCCCAUUAGCUUGUUGGUGAGUGUAACGGCCUACCAAGGCGAUGAUCCGUAGCUGGUCUGAGAGGAUGAUCAGCCACACUGGGACUGAGACACGGCCCAGACUCCUACGGGAGGCAGCAGUGGGGAAUAUUGGACAAUGGGGGCAACCCUGAUCCAGCAAUGCCGCGUGAGUGAUGAAGGCCUUAGGGUUGUAAAGCUCUUUCGGCGGGGACGAUGAUGACGGUACCCGCAGAAGAAGCCCCGGCUAACUUCGUGCCAGCAGCCGCGGUAAUACGAAGGGGGCGAGCGUUGUUCGGAUUUACUGGGCGUAAAGGGCGCGCAGGCGGCUCUGAAAGUCAGAUGUGAAAGCCCCGGGCUUAACCUGGGAAUUGCAUUUGAUACUCUGG